rnacentral:rRNA from 1 species
UACGAAGGGGGCUAGCGUUGUUCGGAAUUACUGGGCGUAAAGCGCGUGUAGGCGGGUCUUUAAGUCAGGGGUGAAAUGCCAAGGCUCAACCUUGGAACUGCCUUUGAUACUGGAGAUCUUGAGUCCGGGAGAGGUGAGUGGAAUUGCGAGUGUAGAGGUGAAAUUCGUAGAUAUUCGCAAGAACACCAGUGGCGAAGGCGGCUCACUGGCCCGGAACUGACGCUGAGACACGAAAGCGUGGGGAGCAAACAGG